rnacentral:rRNA from 1 species
GGCGAACGGGUGAGGAACACGUGAAGAAUCUGCCCUCCACUUUGGGAUAACACAGGGAAACCUGUGCUAAUACCGAAUAUUGAAACAUAAGUGGCAUCACCGAGUUUUGAAAGAAUUUCGGUGGAGGAUGACUUCGCGGCCUAUCAGCUAGUUGGUGAGGUAAUGGCUCACCAAGGCAACGACGGGUAGCCGGCCUGAGAGGGCGACCGGCCACACUGGGACUGAGACACGGCCCAGACUCCUACGGGAGGCAGCAGUGGGGAAUAUUGGGCAAUGGAGGAAACUCUGACCCAGCGACGCCGCGUGCGGGAUGAAGGCCUUCGGGUUGUAAACCGCUUUCAGUAGGGAAGAAGCGAAAGUGACGGUACCUACAAAAGAAGCACCGGCUAACUAUGUGCCAGCAGCCGCGGUAAUACAUAGGGUGCAAGCGUUGUCCGGAAUUAUUGGGCGUAAAGAGCUCGUAGGUUGUUUGUUACGUCGGAUGUGAAAACCUGAGGCUCAACCUCAGGCCUGCAUUCGAUACGGGCAAACUAGAGUUUGGUAGGGGAGACUGGAAUUCCUGGUGUAGCGGUGGAAUGCGCAGGUAUCAGGAGGAACACCAAUGGCGAAGGCAGGUCUCUGGGCCAAUACUGACACUGAGGAGCGAAAGUCUGGGGAGCGAACAGGAUUAGAUACCCUGGUAGUCCAGACCGU